UGGUGUGAGAGCGUGGUCAAGUUUCAUUCUUUUGCAUGUAGCUGUCCAAUUCUCACCGCUCCAUGUGCGUCCCUCCCAAAGCUGUGCGCUUUGUCAAAGAGGACGACCUUCCCUGAUAGAGGAGGACCGUUCUUCAGUCAAGGGUAUAUGAGUAGCUGCGCUCCCCUGCUAGAACCUCCAAAAUCAUACGUUUUUUUAAGUUUCAAAAACAAAGAGCAAAACAGGGAAGAAAUCCAUAAUUCUACCACUGAAAACAAAUCACUCAACGUUUUGAUGUGUAU
rfam:Ailuropoda melanoleuca scaffold909_18, whole genome shotgun sequence.